rnacentral:rRNA from 1 species
UACGUAGGGGGCAAGCGUUGUCCGGAAUUAUUGGGCGUAAAGCGCGUGUAGGCGGCUCGGUAAGUCUGCGGUGAAAGUCCAGGGCUCAACCCUGGAAUGCCGGUGGAUACUGUCGAGCUCGAGUCCGGAAGAGGCGAGUGGAAUUCCUGGUGUAGCGGUGAAAUGCGCAGAUAUCAGGAGGAACACCAAUGGCGAAGGCAGCUCGCUGGGACGGUACUGACGCUGAGACGCGAAAGCGUGGGGAGCAAACAGG